rfam:Salmo salar isolate Sally breed double haploid chromosome ssa11, whole genome shotgun sequence.
CACGUGGGAGGAUGUAAGUCGCUCUGAAUAAGAGCGUCUGCUAAAUGACUAAAA